CAUGAUUCCUGUUCACUCUGCUGUGUGUGGAGAUCUCUACGCCUCGGUGUCGGAGGUGCUGUACAGGCGAGUUGUGGCUGAAAGAAAUCAUCAUGACGGUCUGGUCCCGAUGGAGAAGAAAAAGAAAAGAGAAUUACUUCAAUCAGAGAAGACGUCACCUGUGAUUCACCCAACGUAACUGAAUAGAAGAAGACCAGCAAUGGAUUGCAUGAAAAAAGAACACCUUUGAGAUGCAGACUUCUGGGGAAAUGAUGAUACAAAAUUCAUACAAGUUUAUUUAUUUAUGUUUUUUUUUUUUUUGUUUUUUUUUUCAAAUUUUCGGAAUGUAACCAUAAGUUUGUUAGCAUGUGUACCAAAACCCAAGAUGUUGAGAGCAUCUCUUGGAUUAAAGGGGAACUCAGGUCCUCUAUCCACAGAAUAAACAAUAAGUAUUUGCUUGUUGGGGGGUCCAACCACUGGGACCCACACAUGAUCUCCUGCUUGGUGCCCCGGUUCUCCUCAUGCAUGGAGCGACCACUGCUCCAUGCACAGAGCUGUGUCGAUCACAUGACCUCAGGAAAUUCAAUAAUGCCUUUCAAACAGCUCUCCCAGCCUAUGAGAAGGUAGGAUAGAGAUGAUGUAAAAACCAAUAUAAAAGCCUAUGUACAUAGCUUCAGCAGCCAUUUUAGAGAUACCAGGUGUUAGGUGAAGAUCUCUGUGAGGGACAGUGAGCAGUGAACAUAGCAGAUAGGAGUAGAACCACACGUAUAAAAAUUGUAGUAAAGCAGCAGAAGUUCUGCAUCUGUUCUGUCAGUGCAAAAUCUGUUUUAAUUAGAAAUGAAAGGGGAACUCUGGUACAGGAGUUAGGGGAUAGGUGUCUGACCACUGGGACCCACAUGUGAUCUCCUGCCUAGUGCACCAGCUCUCCCCAUGCAUGGAGCGACCACCAUACAGAAUGGUGGUCAACACGCCCCCUCCAUGCAUCUCAUUAGGAGAGACAAAGUACAUCACUCUCCAGCUCUCUCAUAGAGAUAUAACGAGGGGAAGUGUUGGCCAUUGCUCCAUGAAUUGGGAGAGCCAGGGCACCGGGCAGUAGAUUGGUGUCCCAAAAUUUGGGCGCCCGCAAUCAGUUCUCCUUUAAGAAAUGUUGUUGAAAAGCCAUUCACAAACUUUUGAAAUAAACACAAACUCCAAUGAAUAUAGAAGCUUCUGCCUCAGACAUGUGAACCAAUAAUAAAAUAAGAGGACCCACAUGCAAUCACAAAGAUAAACACAG